CUUCGCUCUGUAGCCACAUGGCUGUGUUCCCUUUCUGUUUGUUUUCCCAUUUCCCUUCUAAAUAUUUUGCAUCAUCUGGGAGACUUUGCCAGGCCGAGGUCGGCUCGCUGGAGGACUGCAUUCCUCUGAUCUGUGGCAUUAGGUUGUUGCCAUGGCAAAGGCUGCUUACCAGGAGGAACACUUCUCGGAGCUGGGCAAUUCCGAGCUCGUUUCUUCCUCUCCUGCACAUGCUUGGCUAUUCUGACAGCCACACCGGCCCAGAGAGGGCUUUCUCCAAUCGUAAACUAUGUUCCUGGAACGUGAACUUCAUUUUGUUUGCCUUUCAAGAUACAGAAGUAUUUGGUUCUGUUUAUUUUUGUUCCAGAUGGGCAGGGCCCUCUUGCCUGUUCUGACUAAUCCACUCGUCAGGGCUGGAAUCUCCU
ensembl:antisense Gm4876 predicted gene 4876